UCUCUUCCAAUAUAAGCAAAACAUAUAUAUAAUAUCGUUGUCAUAUAUAUAAUAUAAGUGACUAUGGCGAUAAAUGGUCUGCGUAAUAAGCUUGUUGGACCCGGGGGCGGUACCCGGCGCCUCCACCAUUCUUGAUGAGAAUGAAAAUAAAAUAUUUUUCUCAAUACUAAGGGGGCGAAAUAGGAUAGACAAGAGUGUAAAGGUUGAAAGUUCGCUCGGCAUUGUACCACCGUUAUAGGUCUAAAAAUAUAGUUGCAAAUGACAACUUACCUGGGUUAAGGGUUGCUGCUUAAGCAGUAUACUUUUCUCAACUUAAGUCCUAAUGGGUGGUACCGUUAGGCGAGGUUAGGAGGCACCUGGCAACAGAAAGCCUCCUCU
rnacentral:tmRNA from 1 species